UGUCAACUUAAAUGUUAAGCGUCGAUGUUUGUUUUUAUGACUAUUUCUCUUCGUCUUCACCAAUCGAUACCUCUGCACUGCGGUUAUUGUAAUCUCCUCUUCGUGAAUCUGUAAUGCUCUAAAUCCUCUUCUAAUUGUUUCGUUCCAUCUCCCCCUCUUUCUCCUUCUAUAUAAAGUCCUAAUCUGAUGUUUAAUCCAAACCCUUUUCAAAACCGUAUAAAUCUUCCAAAAUUCAAGUGAUGAGCGAGAACAACUUCAACGAGAACGAUAGGAGUAUUCUGUCCUAAUUACAACUCUGACAAUGGCGAAUUGCAUACCAAAACUGGCAAACGCCAUUGUUAUCUGCUUUUCAGCUUCCAGUUGCGAGAGGAAGUUCUAAGAAGAUGAUCGGAGGAAGAAAGUCGAAGGCUUUAGUCUCUCGGCGCAAACCGAGCUGAACCGGAAAGUGGGUUUGGUCAGAAGAAACAUACGCUUCCCCUGUUAUCAAAGCUGCUCAAGGAGUUGGUGGUGAUUAUGUUGAUGGAAGAAGAUCUGCCAUGGUUAUCUGAGUUGCUACACUCUUCUCUUCUCCUCUGUUGUGUAUAUGUUUCCGCUAAUGCUGGCGUCAUUGAUGAUUACCUCGAGAAGAUCAAAGCCAACAAAGUAAAGUCUUGAAACGUCAUGAAUCAUGUUGAUAUCUCUUAAGAAACCUUUUUAUUAUGCAAAGUAAUGUUUUUUUUUAUGUUAAGAAGAGACUGGCAAGUGGCAACAAAGCUGAAUGUUUUUAUUAGGCAUAGAUGCUAUUUUAGGGAUUUGGCUUCUCCUGAGUGUGCAGGAGAUUCAGAAGCGGUACGAGAUGUUGCCUGAUAAGGAAUCUGUUGAUGGAGGGUUGAUGCUUGAGGCUGAGAAGAACGAUGGUUGGAUAACUGGGCACCGCAUCUCAGAUACGCUCUACGGAGGCUUAUUCGUGGUGUCUUUUCUCCGAGAGAGAACCCAUGGGAGAACUAGAAUUGUAUGUGUGGGUUUUAAGCGUAACAAGCCGGUUAGCAGAAGAAUUCAGACAAAGAACUCAAGUGUCUGGAGAUGAGACAAAGGUCUUGAUGGAAUUGAAGUAUGGUAAAGUAGAAGCUAACUUGAAUCCCUAAACGGAAAAGGAGACUGAAACAGAUGUUUGAGACAUGAUAGAAGAAUCAUGGAAGGAGACAAAGGAAAACGAAAAACGAUAUUGAUUAUUGAGCAAAGUGAAGAAACUUUUGGAGAGGGUGAAGCGUAAGUGGUGGGGGAGGUUAAGGAGUACCAGAUAUUGAUGGUCUGUUUCUUUUCUUUUGUUUCUUUUCUUUAGACGCACGUCUCUUUUUAACACGUCUGAUGUUAAUAAGGUUUUGGUUCUGGUUUAAAAAUGAGUCAUAUUUCUCAUGUCCAUCCAAAUCUACUGGCAAAUUAUGUUAAUAUUUUAUAUUAAACAUGUAUUUUAAUAUCGAUUUGUCAAAGGUUCCAAAGUCAUGUGGACAGACCAGUGUUGCAUACUCUUCUUUUUUCGUUAUUUAGAAAAAGGUCAUGGAUCCUGAAUUCAGGAAGCAUAACUUGAAGACUUUUCAAACAUCAUAUUUGGAAAUUCAAUUUCAUAUUAUCUUUUAUAAAAAAAGACUUUAGAAUAUAAGCUUACAUAAAUUUAUAAAUUUAUAUAAAAAAAAAGACUUUAGAUGUUGGAGUGAUAUUUCAGAGUACUCUGUUCUGCUGUUAGCUUAGACAUAACUAGGGAUCCAUGUGUUAACAAUGGUUGUAGUUUUUGGUUAUAUAGGUUUCGAGAUCUAUAGGAGAUAUGUACAUGAAACGGCCAGAGUUUAACAGGGAGCCGAUUGCUCAGAAGUUCAGGCUUUAUAUGUGAAGAUAGUCCUGCAGAAGAUCUGUACGGCAUUUUUAUCAAUAGGGUUCGUCGAGAGCGUCCACCAGAGUAUUUGGAAAAGUUUGACAAAAUGGGUCCCUCCCCCAGUGAAGAUGACAAGCAGCUAUGUUCGUCAAAACAUUGACAUACUCGGAAGAAAAUGGAUGUGGCUUCCAUUACAUGUAUUCAAGACACAAGAUCUGUGUUGGGAUUCGUAUAUAUGAGUUCAAUACUUGACCAAAUUUGAGAUGGUUUAAAUGGAGGUAUUACCU